CCAUGGUACCAUGAAUCGUCUUUCAGUCGUAAAAGUGCGUUUAAACAGUAUACACUCGAUUUUUUGAAAAGCUUUUAUUUUUAUUUUCACAUCAUUUCUCAUAAUGAAAACAAUUUUUGUAUUUUUAUUAGUGUUAAACUUUUUGUCUGUAUUAUUUUCUUAUCCUACUAAUGAACGUGCAAUACAACUUCACCGAUUAAAACAAGAAGACAGUCCCAGCAUACAGUACAAAUAUAUAUUGAAAUCAACCAUCGUCAAUCCCAAGCAAAAAUAUUGGUGGAAAAGAGGGACCCAUCGAGUUUAUACAGACAUCGACCAAAAACCUGAAAUUAUUUUUGCAUAAUCAAGAAUCGAGAUUUCUAUGAUGCAAAUAAUCACGUGAACUAUUACUAGAAGGCUGAUUAAUGUAAAUUAUUUAUUUUAAUUAUAUUUCAAACAUUAACAUAAAUAAACCACUUUGUUGUU